CAAUGGGAACAAUUAGUCGAUUAUUGGUAUUCAAAUAAAGGAGAGGAUUCAGAAAGACUUGGGGUUGCUAGCAGAAAACAACAAAAAUAUACUCAUACCUCUGGAUCAAAGAGCUUUGCUAGAAAGGAAAAGGAAAUGGAGGUUCACAAUGGAAGAAAAGUAGGACGGCUCGAAUUUUUUAAA